AGGGAAUCUUCCGCAAUGGACGAAAGUCUGACGGAGCAACGCCGCGUGAGUGAUGAAGGUUUUCGGAUCGUAAAGCUCUGUUGCCAGGGAAGAACGUCCGUUAGAGUAACUGCUAACGGAGUGACGGUACCUGAGAAGAAAGCCCCGGCUAACUACGUGCCAGCAGCCGCGGUAAUACGUAGGGGGCAAGCGUUGUCCGGAAUUAUUGGGCGUAAAGCGCGCGCAGGCGGCUGUUUAAGUCUGGUGUAUAAUCCUGGGGCUCAACUCCGGGUCGCACUGGAAACUGGACGGCUUGAGUGCAGAAGAGGAGAGUGGAAUUCCACGUGUAGCGGUGAAAUGCGUAGAGAUGUGGAGGAACACCAGUGGCGAAGGCGGUUCUCUGGACUGUAACUGACGCUGAGGCACGAAAGCGUGGGUAGCAAAC
rnacentral:rRNA from 1 species